GGAGGAACCUCUGGAGAGAAUCGUUGAAUCGAUCGCCGAAGGAGCAAGUCCCAUCCGGGAUGAAACUCUCAGGCAAAAGGACAGAGGAGUGAAA
rfam:Vibrio sp. MEBiC08052 genomic scaffold scaffold00001, whole genome shotgun sequence.